rnacentral:lncRNA from 1 species
AACGCAAUUUAUAACGCUUUACCCGAAGACCUAAUAUUAAUAAUAUAGAUCUCCAAUAUUAGAAUAAUAUCAUCACAGUAUAAUAUUGUUAUAUUUAUAUACACAGAAUAACCUAAACACAUAACACAUAACCCUAUCAGUCUAUACAACACAUAAGACUUAAUAUCAGGUCAAACUAUUUCAGUCUGACUUAAAACUAACAUCAUUCUUUCAUCCCGACGGUUUAGUCGGACAAUACCCGAGUUUAAGUUCAAUUAAACUCUUCCUGAACACUUAACAAUUAUCACAAAUAAUUUCUUAUCAGUCAAAACAUUUUUCCUAGGCUCGUAAUAAUUUUCGGAUAAUUAUUACCAUUUAUCAUGAUUUUCCAAUCAUUAAUAUCGUAUUUAAAUGAAUUAAAUACCGCAUAAUUCCUUAAUCAUUAAUAUUCAUUUAAUAUAAAAUAUUAAUGAU